rnacentral:rRNA from 1 species
ACGUAGGAGGCAAGCGUUAUCCGGAUUUAUUGGGCGUAAAGCGCGUGCAGGCUGUUUGGAAAGUUGGAUGUGAAAGCUCCUGGCUUAACUGGGAGAGGUCGUUCAAAACUACCAAACUAGAGAAUGGGAGAGGGAAGUGGAAUUCCGGGUGUAGUGGUGAAAUGCGUAGAUAUCCGGAGGAACACCAGUGGCGAAAGCGGCUUCCUGGACCAUUUCUGACGCUUAGACGCGAAAGCUAGGGGAGCGAACGG